rnacentral:lncRNA from 1 species
AGUUGACCGGGUUUAAAUAAAGAAAAAAUUAGAUAAAUAAAUAAACAUUUAUUAAAAAAGUCCAUUGAAAGUCCAGGCCUACUGUUGCUACCCAAAGCCCAAAUACAAAAACCCAUAUCCGGGUAUAACCCAAUAGCCGGAACAAUACCUAAUACCCUUAAGCUAAACCCAAACCCAAAUAAGGCCCGUUACACCCAGCAGUCCGUCAGACUCAUUAUCCCUGCUAGCCUAAGUCAGACCUAACCCAUUACAUUACAGACCUUGACCCAAAACAAAACAGCCCAAAAGGCCCAAUAGACUUAAGAGAAACAGGGAAACCCUAGGGUUUCCGAAUACUGUGGCGCCGCAAACAUUUCUGGAAGCUUCGGGGAGUGUCUGGCAACCCCCAAAUCGAGGCCACCGUUUAAUGAGUUGUCCCAAGGGGCUUCAAUGCUCAUCAACGCCCCGAUCCUCGGUCGUCCCUUGGUCUGGCCCCAAAUUACGUUAUGAAUGUCAUGACCAUCACCAAGGCUCCAUCAGCGCCGUGAUCAGUGCACGCGUCUACACCAGCAUGGUCACUGCCAGAUCCCUCGCUCGAUUGCCUGCAAGAAAAGGAAACAAACAGCAGAUACGCGAAAAAGCAGAGUAGAAAAUGGCAAGGAAAUCACAGCACAUCAGUCAAAGAUACAAGAAAUCAGAGAUUUCUUUCCUUAUGUAACAAAUCAGUAGGCUAUAAAAAAAGCCUUUGUAACCCUUGUAACGAUUACACAGAUACAGAAAUAAAGAAACGAAUACAAAUAGUUUCAAAGGUGAUAACUGAGUGACUUGUUCUCUAUUUUUUUUAGCCCAUAUAUAUGAACUGUUUAGCAAAAUACUAAGGGUAUUUGAAAAGAAGAAGAACUACCUGUUUUGGAUCUAAAGGAAUGAGGAUUUUUAAACCCUCCGAUCUUCGUAUACAGUGGCCCUUAGGGCGGCGCGUGGGCGCGUGGACCGGCACGUGGCGUACGAAGGCCAGAACCGGAGCUCCCUUCCUCUCUCUCUUUCAGAGAGAAUUUUUUAGUUUUUUUUUUAAAAAAUCGGGGUUCAAAUGAAUCUUAAGCUGAGAAGGUAGCUUAUAUAGCUUGAACGAAACGGCGUCGUUUUGCGACCCCCAGGAUCCGCGUGUUGACCCGAUUACCUGGGGAGGAUCCGCGCAUUUUUUAAAAUUGGGUUAAUUUCCCAAUCGGUCCUUCUACCCCUUUUGUGUUUACAAUUAAACUAUUUUAUUUAUGAUUUGGCCCUAUUAUUUUAUUUUAGUUUUAAUUUGACCCUGACAGUUGUUAAAUUAUAUUCUGAGAAACGUGGCCGUUUUAAGAAUAGGGCAUUUUGCCCAGUGAGUCCCUCUAAUUUUACGCGCGUUUUAAAUAGGGCCUCAAUUCAGUUUUGUUUCUUUGAAAUUCGCCCUGUAAUUUUGCUGAAUUUUAAAUUUAGUCCUAUAUUUAUUCUAUAUAUAUAUCUAUUUUAUAUAUUGAUAUUUAUUUUUAUCCUUAUUAUUUAUAUUAUAUACUAUAAGAUUAUUUUAUUAUACAUAUAUUAUUAUUCUUCAUAUUACCUAUUAUUUUUCAAAUUAUUUUACAUCAUUAUUUUUUAUAUUAUUAUAUUUUUACUUGUAUUAUAUGUUAAUUAUUUAUACAUAUAAACUUUCAUUAUUUUAUAUUAUAUCUAUUAUAUAUCUUAUUUCCUAUAUAUUUAAAUUAUAUUUUAUAACAUUUAUUUUAUUUUAUUUUUAUUCUAUAUUUUUUAUAUAUAUGUUAUGUGUAUCAUAUAUUAUCUAUUAUAUUAUUCAUUAAGAUUUGUAAAUUAAAUUACAUUUUAAACUCAUAUUAUAUAUAUUAAAUUAUUAAUUAUGUAUUAUUUUAUUUUAAAAUGAUGUUUUGUGAUAUGUAUUAUUUUAUAAAUCCUUUUACCUACUUUUAUUUUAUAUAUAUUUUUAUAUAAUUAUUAUUCUCUUAUAAAUAUUUUGUUAUUAUAUUUUAUAUAUUAUGUAGCAAAUACUAUUUUAAAAUUAUUAUUAAAAUUUAGGUCUUUAUUUGUGUUAUGUGUAUACUUUGUUGACAAUAAUUUAUUCCAUUGUUUUUAUAUUGCAUAUAUCAUGCGUUAUUUUAUAUUUAUUAUUUGAUAUUACAUUUCAUGAGCAUAUACAAUGAUAUUAUAUUACUCUUUUGUAUGCCAUACAUUAUUUAAUUAUUGCUUUCUUAUAUAUAACGUGCAUUAUUUAAUUAUCACUUUGUAUGUUUGUAUAUCUUGUUUAUUCAUUCUCAAUACAUGCUAUAUAUAUAUCUAUGUAUGCAUAUUGUUACUAUUUGCUUUAUAUGUAUUAUUUUAUAUGUAUAUAUCUAAUGCACGAUCUUUAUAUCAUAGUAUUCAUUUUUAAAUGCACGUAUUAUUUACCUACUACAAUAAUAUGUUACUAUGUAUGAUUUAUAAUGCAAUAUAAUUCCUCACACAUCACCAUUUUUUUAAAAAAAGAGCUCCAAGGUUUUCAAAAAAAUAUAAAGGCAAUGCUUGAUGUUUGGAAAUUUCGGGAAAGUAGUGCCCUAACUUAUCGGUUUGCGACUCUUCUCGUUGAGUUCGAAUAAUCAAAUACCCUUUUAAGUUUUUAAAGGUUUUCAAAAUGUAAGUGACUGUCUUGGAAUUUCAAAGAAAUAUGACCAAACUUACUGGAUGUGGCGUUUUGUUGUUUCAAGAUAGGGAUUUUCGAAAGGCUAACUCAAUGUCAAUAUUUUACGAGUGAGUUCCAAUUUUCAAAAUCCAAAAUAUUUCAAAGAGGAUUGCGUCUUAAAAUUUCUAAUUUCCGACCUUAAAGACAUUUGAUAAUCAAUUUGGUACCAAUUUUUGGGCGUUACGAGGGUGCUAACCCUUCCUCGUACGUAACCGACUCCCGAACUCGUUCUUUUGAUUUCGUAGACCAAAACCGAUGAUUUUAAAAUAAAAUUGAUCUAAAGGUGAUCCAAUCACACCUAAAAAGCUUGGUGGCGACUCCCGUUUUCAUUUUUUUAAAGUCGAUUCCCAUUUUCUAAAACUCGAUUUGAAAAUGAUUUCGACAGCUUGGCGACUCCACUGCGGACUAAUAAGAGAGUCAAGCCGUGUAAUUGAUUAUCUCUUGUCUUAAUGUCGGAAAUUAAAAAUUUUAAAAUUUAAUUUUCUUUGCAUUACAUGUGUUUGUGUUAUUGCAUGUGUUGCUAUAUUCUAAUACGCAUUGCAUUUGCAUGACCGUUGUGGUCACACCCUUAAGUGGGAGUGAGAAGCUACGCCUUCGUGAGGUUUUCGCCUCCGUGCAGGAUAGUGGAUCACUUUUGGGAUACAUCCGUACCUAUGGUUUCGUGAGAUUUUCAUCUCCGUGUAGCCAUAGGGAAAUGUGUCCCCCUGAACUGAACUCGAUUCAAAUGAGCCUAUAAUGGGUGAGGAUCGAGGAAUCUGCUGGUUCAGGUACCUCAACUUUAGAACUAAACCACAUAUAGAAGGACCGUAAGAGCUCAACCUAGAUAGAAUUAUACCGUAAUUAUUACCCUUACAGGUUAUCUUUGAGUUUAUUGUUAUCAUGUGAUACUAACUAUCUCUUUUCUUUUGUUGCAUAUCAUUUCGCAUUUAAAAGGUAUCAAUUCGCGGUCAGUGUCUAAAUUAGAGAGUUUUAUUAUAGAGAACGGACUUCUUGAUAGAGUGGAGAGCAAUGCCAACGUCCAUAGAUGGUCUGAGCAAACUCAGUUAGAAAAGGGAGAUAGUAUAGCUGUGGGAUAUAUGUCGGAGCUGUCAGGAUAUACUCGCAUCAGUGUCACGCAGGAUAAUCUCCAAGAACUUAAGGAGAUUUGGGAUCAAUGGGGCAACGAGACUAAACAGUUAUUCUAUGGUAAUUACGUAGAUUUACCUUACUUGCUCGAUGUUCAAAUAGAUGAGCACUUGUUCCGAGCCCUCGCUCAGUUUUGGAAUCCAGCGUAUAGUUGCUUUACUUUUGGGGAGGUAGACUUGGUGCCUACCGUAGAGGAGUACACUGCCUUGUUACGUUGUCCCAGGUUCCAGGUUGAUAGAAUCUAUUCUCGAGCUGCUAAUGUCCCUACCUUUUGGAAGAAAUUGAUGACUAUUACAGGGAUGAGUGAGCAGUGGAUUACGACCAGAAUUAAAGAGAACGGUGAGUGCAAGUGCAUUUCAUGGGACGCUUUGAAGGGUCUGAUUUUGAUGCAUCCCGAUGAAACAAAGAGGGUAGAUGUUUUUGCCUUAAGUUUGUAUGGAUUGAUGGUGUUCCCUAGGGCUUUGGGAUAUGUGGAUGAGGCAACCACGGAUCUUUUCCAUAGACUCAGUAAGAGGGUCACUUCAGUCCCUGCAAUUUUGGCAGAGACAUUCAGGUCCUUAGGCACAUGUAGAAAAGCUGGUGCAGGCAGGUUUGUUGGUUGUGUACAAUUGCUUCUAGUUUGGUUCUAUAGUCAUUUUCAAUUGGUAGAUAAGGUCGUUUGUCGGGUUUUCUUCGAGGAUUACUCACCGCUGAAGGGCAUAGUCGCUUCAACUAGGAGAGUUGAUGUUCCAGAGGAGAAUUGGAUAGCACUACUUCAAAAUCUUCAGUCGAAAGAUGUUGAGUGGAGAGCUCCAUGGAUGAUUCCUGGUGAGAUUCUUUACCGUUGCGGCAGUUUCGAUUGGGUCCCUUUAUUGGGAAUUUGGGGUGCCAUUGGUUAUGCCCCCUUGCUCGUGUUAAGGCAAUUCGAUUUGAGGCAGUUCGUGCCAGCAACUCAUGGGCUAACUCAAAGUGAGUUCGCAUAUAGAGGAGCUGAUUACAAGAAAAGGGUCGGUGAGAUCUCUAGCGCUUGGAACAAGGCGUGCCGAUUGAAAGGAGUAGCUAUUGGCCCUGCUACGACUCCAGAAUAUGUUGAAUGGAGAGGUAGAAGGAUCAAUGAUAACAUUCCUGAGCCAAAUAUGGAAAGAGCUCGACCGAUGGAGGAAUAUCUGCAAGUGAUGCCCUCGGAGUUAGAAAUUAUGAAGCAAGAAUUUGAGAGGAAAAAUCUGGAGCUCGAGAAAAGGAUAGCAAAGCUUGAAGAAGAAAAAAUGUACUUGAGUUUAGAUAUUGAUGUCCAGAAGAUGGAGGUCGAAAAAAAAAGAAAGGAAGGAAAAGAGGAAGAUUGAAGAGGAUAGAGAUGACUUGAAGGAAUACUACAAAAAGGCACAGGUAUCCUUGAGAAGAGCGAAAAUAGGAGGGUCUUCAGAUCAAUUGCAGAAAGAGGUCCAAGAAGGAAAGGCAAGAGCUGAGUACUGGGAGAAGAAGUUUCAAGAGAUGCAAUCGCGAAAUUUGGCAUUAGAAGAAGAGAAUAAAGGGUUGAAGUCUAAAGUAACUGAGCUUGGAAGAUCCCUUCGAUGGCAUCGCAACCAUGAUUCUACGGUCGAGUUAAAAGAGCUAAAGAGUAAAGUUGAAGAUUUGGAAGCAGCAUUGCAGGAAAGUAAACUUCAGAUCGAGCAACUCGAGACACAAGGAGAUUAUCUAAAGGGAGAGCUUCAUCAGUCUAGAGGGCAGAUUAGAGAAAUGGAUCAUGUCAUGGAAGAAGCCAUAGCUCAGAUUCGAGAGGUUGCUGAAUAUGUGCGAGACUUGGUUGUACGAGCCGAGGUAUUGAGUAUGAUGUGUGGGUCGUCGUCAGACAUCGGAAAAGAGUUAGCCCUUUUAUUAGAUAAAGUUAAAACUUUGGGCAUUAGGGCGAAAGCAUACUUGUAAUCCAUUUAUAUGUAAAGAUAUUCUUUUUCUAAAUGAAGUUUUCUAAAUGAGAUUGAAUCGAGAUUGAUGCCUUUGUUGCAUUCAUACAUUUGCAUUACAUCAUAUCAUAUGCAUUCAAGGUUAUAGAAAGACCCUAAUUAGUUAAAGUUUCUUUAUAAAGGUAGAAAAGAAAAACUGGAAAUUACGCAUUCUUACGGCACUCGCACUAAAACUAAGAACAUGGAUCAAAGGUUUGAGCAGUUGCAAAAGGAUAUGCAAGACCAGUUGCAAGAGCAGUUGGCUAAAAUGCAGAAUGAGAUGAGGGAGCAAAUGAUGGAAGCUCAGAGGAAUAUAAUGGCCGAAAUGGCUCAGUUACUGAGGGCCACUGAUAAAGGAAAGGCUCCUAUGGCCAUCAUUGAAGAGGAAAAUGAGGGUCCUCUUCUAGGUUUUACACCGCCGCAUGUAUCAUUGCAAACCGAGGCACCUCCUAGAAGGCCAUCUACUACUGUGAGGCCUCAGCAUGGGCUAAUCGAUGCUGGUAUCCAUGUGAAUUUUUCGGUUGGUUCAGGGCUUAAUAUGGGUGACAAUCUUACUAAUCCUCUUGUUCCUGAUCUAGAUAUGGUGAAAAAGGAAUAUUUGAAGGCCGAAGCUGCAAGGUAAUUAGAUGAACGCUGUAGAUGGUUAGAAGAAAAGUUCAAGGCUUUGGAAGGCACUGGCAAUAAUCAUGGGGAUGAUGCCAAGGACUUAAGUCUAGUCCCAAACCUAGUGUUACCUCACAAAUUCAAAAUGCCAGAAUUUGAAAAAUACAAUGGUACUACUUGCCCAGAGGCCCACAUCACAAUGUUUUGUAGAAGGAUGACGGGGUAUGUAAACAAUGAUCAGCUGUUGAUCCAUUGUUUUCAAGAUAGUUUGAUAGGUGCGGCAGCCAGAUGGUACAAUCAGUUGACCGGGCUAGAAUAAGUUCAUGGAGGGAUCUUGCAUAAGCCUUCAUGCAACAGUAGAAUCAUGUAACAGACAUGACCCCUGACAGGAUUACCCUGUAAAACAUGGAGAAGAAGCCUAAUGAGAAUUUUAGGCAAUAUGCACAGAGGUGGAGAGAGGUAGCGAUAGAGGUUCAACCACCACUGUUGGAGAAGGAGACCACUAUGUUAUUCAUUAAUAUUUUGAAAGCCCUAUUUAUUACUCAUAUGAUUGGAAGCACUACUAAAAGUUUUGCGGACAUAGUUAUGGCAGGAGAGAUGAUAGAGAAUGCCAUAAGAGGGGGAAGAAUUGAAGGAGAGGGAGUCAAAAGAUCAGCCCUAAGAAGAAAAGACAAUGAGGUAAACAAUACAAGUGGUUUUAAUUCAAAAGCAGUCACAGUUAGCCAGCCCAAAGUAGCCACAGUUGGGCAACAAGUCUCUUAAAAGCAGGAAUCCAACACUAGGUAUGAGAGGAUGCAAUUUACACCUAUACCUGUGACGUAUAGGGAACUCUAUCAAAAUCUAUAUGAUGCGCAUGCUAUAGCCCCUUUCCAUUUAAAACCAUUACAGCCUCUGUAUCCUAAAUGGUAUGAUGCAAAUGCCAGAUGUGAGUAUCAUGCUGGAAUAUCGGGGCACUUAAUCGAGAAUUGUACUGGAUUCAAGAAAGCCGUAGAGAGGUUGAUCAAGAAUGGGGUUUUAAAAUUUGAGAGUACCUCAAAUACUGAGAAUCCUUUGCCAAACCAUGACAAUCAGGGAGUAAAUGCCAUUGGUGAAGCCGGUGAAAAAAGGGAAAAGGAAAAUGUUGAUGAGAUAAGGAUGCCUAUGAGGGUAAUCUGGAAGGAGAUGAUGAAGAAAGGUAUGUUGACCUUUAAAAAUACGAAAGAAAUAAUGUGGGAUUACGGUGAGUUUCGUGAAGAUUGCGAGGAAUUCAAGGCCUUGGUGCAAGGCUUCAUAGACAACAAAGAGCUACAGGUUUAUGAAGGUAGCUCUAGUGAAAAGCAAGUAUGUGUGUUGGAAAAUGAACAGCAAAGAACCAACAGACCAAGGAUCAUUAUCUCCUUGCCAGGGAAUAAUGAAAUAAGGACACCAUCAGCGCCCAAGGUUAUUAUCCAUACACCUACUCCUUUCCCUUACAAGGAUAGCAAGAAAGUACCAUGGAGUUAUGACUGUAGCGUGACGGUGCCGGGAGAAGGAAACAUAGCCAGCGCAUCUAAAGAUGUACAAGAGGAAGGUUCCCAUACGUGAAGUGGGAAGCGUUAUGAUAUGGGGGACGUCAGGGUGGAGCCCACAAAAUCUAAGAAUGCUGAAAUUGAGAAAAAGAGUGAAGUACCUGUUAACGAGCCGGUGAGAGAGGAGGAAGCUAAGGAAUUUCUAAAGUUUCUUAAGCAUAGUGAGUACAGUAUGGUCGAGUAGUUGCGUAAGCAACCAGCGCGUAUAUCGAUUUUAGCCUUACUGCUAAGCUCUGAAGUGCAUCGAGAAGCGUUGUUGAAGGUACUCAACGAGACAUAUGUCACUCAUGAUAUAUCUGUCAAUAAGUUGGACCGGUUGAUAAAUAACAUCAAUGCUGAUAAUUUCAUCUACUUCAAUGAUGAUCAAAUUCCACCUGGGGGCAUAGGGUUAACUAAGGCUUUGCACAUCACCACUCGUUGCAAAGGAUACACGUUUCCAAGUGUACUCGUUGAUAAUGGGUCCGCUUUGAACGUCCUUCCAUUAUCCACAUUCAACAGAUUACCUAUUGACAGUUCACACAUGAAGACAUGUCAUAAUGUGGUAAGAGCCUUUGACAGAACUGAAAGGAAAGUAAUGGGACGAAUUGAUAUCCCUCUGGAGAUUAGACCAAAUACGUAUGAAGUUGACUUCUUGGUAAUGGAUAUCAAGCCCUCCUAUAAUUGUUUGUUGGGGAGGCCAUGGAUACACUCGGCAGGAGCGGUGCCUUUUUUACUGCGCCAAAAAUUGAAGUUGGUGACAGAUGGACGCUUGAUAACCAUCAAUGCAGAGGAGGACAUCAUAGCAGUCGUCACUAGUAAACCUCCUUAUGUGGAGACAAAUGAGGAGGCUAUUGAGUGUUCUUUUCGUUCUUUAGAAAUUGUUAAUACUACCUUCAUUUCGGAGGGAAGCGAGGUGCUGGUUCCCAGGAUGUCUAGAGCAACAAGGAUGGCCCUACAAAUAAUGAUGGGGAAAGGAGCAUUGCCAGGAAAAGGACUAGGAAAAUAGUUGCAAUGAGGGAUUCAAGUCCCAAAAUUGAUGGAGAAGAAGGAUCGCUUUGGUUUGGGUUUUAAGCCAGACCAUAAACAAAAGAGACAAGAGAUGAAAAAGCGUCAAGUAAGAAGGAAGGCGCAUUUGAACGGAGGAGAAGUAGAGUGGGAACUGAUGACAUUCCCACCUAUAUCCAAAACCUUUAAGUCAGGAGGGUUGCUAGUAAAAGAGAGUCAUCAAAUCAAUAUUGUACAUAAUGAGUGGUUUGGACAGGAAAACCUUGAGGGUAUUCACCCUUACGAACCGGGGAGCUCUCUGAACAAUUGGACUGCGGAGGAUCUUCCUGUAGUCUUUAGAAAUUUUUCAGAGUAAUUCUCGAAACAUGUUUAUUACUCUAGGGCCUAGGAGUAGUAAGAUUACAUUUUGUGAAAAUAGGCCUAUGUUCAUAUAUUAUUAUUCAAAUAAAACAUAACUUUUACCAAUUUAAAAGAGUAUUGUCUCAUUUUUAUCAACCAAUAUUUCUUUAAAUUCUAACAAUUCUUAUUCUUUUAUUCAUAGCACAUAAACGAUCAUUCUCAAAUUCAUUCAUUCUUUAUAUAUUCUUUCAUACCCCUUACAGGUCUCUAGAUAUCAAUGAUAUGAGCGCUAAUACUGCCGUUCCUGAUUUCUCUUGUGAGCAAGACAUGUGUUUAGAGGAGCCUUAGGAUUUUGAAGAUGUUCAAGAUUGUGACGUAUCUCUCGAUCUAUUAAGAAUGGUAAAACAGGAGGAGAAACAAAUCAUGCCACAUGAAAAAGAGGCAAUAGAUAAUAUAGCCCUAGAGGAAGGGAAGGAGGUCAAAAUUGGAACACUGAUCGCUAAUGACACAAGGCGUAGCUUGAUUGAGUUGCUUCAGGAAUUCAAGGAUAUCUUUGCAUGGUCUUAUCAGGAUAUGCCCGGAUUGAGUACUGAUAUUGUAGUACAUCGUCUUCCGAUAAGACAAGAAUGUAGACCGGUCCAACAGAAGUUGCGAAGGAUGCGGCCAAACAUUGUCCUGAAAAUAAAAGAUGAGGUUAAGAAGCAGUUUGAUGCAGGAUUUCUGCAGGAAGUGAAGUACUCUGAAUGGGUAGCUAAUAUUGUACCUGUUCCUAAGAAAGACGGGAAGGUACGAAUGUGCGUUGAUUACAGAGAUCUAAACAAAGCAAGCCCAAAGGAUAAUUUUCCUCUACCACAUAUCGACACUUUAGUAGACAACACAGCGGGAUAUUCGUUGUUCUCCUUCAUGGACGGCUUCUCAGGAUACAAUCAGAUAAAGAUGCAUCCAGAUGAUAUGGAUAAAACUACUUUCAUAACAUUAUGGGGCACCUUUUGUUAUAAAGUAAUGCCGUUUGGGUUGAAGAACGCAGGGGCAACAUACCAACGAGCCAUGGUAAACUUGUUUCACGACAUGAUGCAUAAGGAUAUUGAGGUAUACGUUGAUGAUAUGAUCGCCAAGUCGCGAACAGAAAAAGAACACAUUGAGGUCUUGAGAGGAUUGUUCUUAAGAUUGAGAAAAUUUCAGUUGAAGCUCAAUCCAGCAAAGUGCACCUUUGAAGCCAGAUCGGGGAAGUUAUUAGGCUUCGUAGUCAGUAAAAAGGGAAUUGAAGUUGACUCAGACAAGGUCAGAGCCAUACGGGAGUUGCCUCCACCACGUACUCAAAAAGAAGUUCGAGGAUUCCUAGGAAGGUUGAAUUACAUUGCUCGGUUCAUUUUACAAUUGACCAAGAAAUGUGAUCCUAUCUUUCGUCUCCUCAGAAAGCACAAUCAAGGUGCUUGGGAUGAAGAAUGCCAGAAUGCUUUUGAGAAAAUCAAGCAGUAUUUGUUGAAUGCUCCAAUGUUAUCUCCGCCUAGUCUAGAUAAACCGUUAAUACUAUACUUGUCAGUGUUUAGCAAUUCUAUGGGAUGUGUGCUUGGUCAGCAUGACGAGUCAGGGAAAAAGGAAAAGGCAAUUUAUUAUCUCAGUAAGAAAUUUACUGAUUGUGAAAUGAGAUAUUCACUAAUCGAAAAGUUGUGCUGUGCGUUGAUUUGGACCACACGGAGAUUAAGACAAUACAUGCUAUACCAUACAACUUGGCUCAUCUCAAAAUUAGAUCCAUUAAAAUACAUGAUGGAAUCAACGGCUCUAAAUGGAAGAAUGGCGAGAUGGCAAAUUUUGCUUUCAGAGUUUGAUAUAGUUUAUGUAAGUCAGAAGGCUAUCAAAGGAAGUGCGGUGGCAGACUUCUUGGCCAGUAGAGCUUUAGAGGAUUACGAGCCAUUGAAUUUUGAUUUUCCAAAUGAGGAGCUAAUGUGUAUAGCAGCAACUGAAGAUUCUCCAUGGAAGCUAAAUUUUGAUGGGGCUUCUAAUGCAGUCAGAAAUGGAAUUGGGGCAGUCUUGGUAUCCCCGAAUGGCGACCAUUACCUGUUCAUGUGCAAGUUGGAUUUUGACUGUACAAAUAAUAUGGCUGAAUACGAAGCAUGCAUCAUGGGGCUCCAAGCGGCCAUAGAAAGAGGCAUAAAAACCCUAGAAGUAUAUGGAGAUUCUGCGUUAGUAAUCUAUCAGUUAAGAGGUGAAUGGGAGACAAGAGACCCUAAGUUGAUCAAUUAUCGAAUGGUAGUUUUAGGGUUACUAAGAGAGUUCGAUGACAUCACCUUCAACUAUCUCCCACGAGAUGAGAAUCAGAUGGCAGAUGCUUUAGCAACCUUGGCUUCACUGAUUAAGGCAAACAAAGAGGAAGAGAUGAGACCAAUUCAAAUGAGUGUCUAUGAAUUUUCAGCUAGCUGUUGUAACCUUGAAGAGGAAGAAAAGGAUGACAAUCCUUAGUAUCAGGAUAUAUUGCGAUAUGUAAGAGAUCGUAAAUAUCCAGCACAGGCAUCCGAAAAUGACAAACGAACCCUGAGAAGAUUAGCUUGUGACUAUGUUUUGGACGGGGAUGUUCUGUAUAAGAGAAGGAAAUACCAAGUACUUUUGAGAUGUGUCAAUGCUGUGGAAGCCAAGCUAAUUCUAGAAGAGGUCCAUGAAGGUGCAUGUGGUACGCAUGCAAAUGGGUUCACGAUGGCAAGACAAAUCAUGAGGUUUGGCUAUUACUGGGCCACUAUGGAAGGAGACUGUAUCAAUUAUGCCAAAAAAUGCCAUAAGUGUCAGAUUUAUGGGGACAAAAUUCAUGUACCACCCUCACCUUUACAUGUCAUGACGUCUCCAUGGCCAUUUUCCAUGUAGGGCAUGGAUAUCAUCAGACCAAUAUCGCCGAAAGCUUCGAAUGGACAUCGGUUUAUUUUCGUAGUUAUUGACUACUUUACAAAAUGGGUAGAGGUUGCUUCUUACGCAAAUGUUACUAAGUCAGCUAUAAGUCGAUUUUUGAAGAAGGAAAUCAUUUGUCGGUAUGGAGUGCCUGAGAGGAUCAUAUCCGACAAUGUAUUGAAUUUGAACAACAAAACGAUAGCAGAGGUUUCGACCAGUUCAAAAUCAAGCAUCACAACUCUUCACCCUAUCGUCCAAAGAUGAAUGGGGCAGUGGAGGCUGCCAAUAAAAACAUUAAGAAAAUAGUGGGAAAGAUGACUGAGACUUAUAGAGAUUGGCAUGAAAAGCUACCGUUUUCACUCUUGGCUUAUCGAACAUCUGUUAGAACUUCUACUGGGGCAACUCCGUUCUCGUUAGUUUACUGGAUGGAAGCAGUUUUACCUAUUGAAGUGGAAAUACCCUCUCUCCGAAUUUUAACAGAGAUAAGGUUAGAUGAAGCUGAAUGGGUUCAGUCUCGAUAUGACCAGCUAAACUUGAUUGAGGAAAAGAGGCUGAAGGCUAUCCAACAUAGUCAGAUGUACCAGAAGCGUAUGAUACGAGCUUAUGAUAAAAAAGUUCGUCCAAGGGAAUUCCAUGAGGGGGACCUUGUGCUAAAGAAAAUCAUUCCCAUUCAAAAGGACUUUAGAGGAAAGUGGAUGCCAAAUUGGGAGGGGCCAUACGUCGUGAAGAAGGCUUUUUCUGGUGGUGCAUUGAUUUUGACAGAAAUGGAUGGAAAAAGCCUACCCAAUCCGGUGAACUCAGACUCAGUUAAAAAUACUUUGUCUAAAAGCGAAAAGAAUCCAAGGUGAAAACCUGCAAAAGGGCGCCUUGAAUUUUGAAAAAAAAAUGGAUAGGCCAAUGUGAAAACCCACAAAGGGCACCUUGUGACUAAAGGGAUUUUGAGUUGAAAACCUGAAAGGGCAGCUCAAAUUUUGAAGGGCAUACAGCAAACUUGCUAUAUUUGACUUGACAGAGAGUGAGGCACAGUGUACAUUGGGGCAUCAACAAAGUACUUUGGAUCUUUUAAACACAUGUCGAACUCAAGAAAGGCUUCGGGGAACUAAUGUAUAGAUGCUCAAGCGGCGAUAUUUAUCCUGUUUGCUGUCUUUAGAUUCUAUUUCUUCUUAAAGAUAUGCUAUCAAACUUAUUUCCUUUGUACUGUUAACAAUUCGAAUCCAAUUAUUCUCAAAGAUUUACUCAUCUCCCGAUAUUUUUUAAGUAUGUUGCAUUGAAAUAAUGAUAGAUGAGCUAAAAUAUUUUCACAAAAGAAGUUUUACACAUCACUUUGGAAUUUCUAGAUAAUACAAGAAACUAAAACAGGACAAUUGUUCGAGAAAUUCACGUAAGUAAGGAAUGAAGGAACUCGAGAGAUUUCUUUCUUCCAGUUCAAAAAGAAAUGGAUGAUUCAAUUCUUACAGACAUCCUCAAUAGAUCAUAGCAUUGGAGGAAGGCCUACAAGCUGAGUAAGAAUAAAGUUUUGAGAAAGAGAAAUGAAGGAAUGAAUAAUGACACCUGAGAUAGGGGUUAUAUUCACAGCACUUUGCAUCAUAACAUGUUAAGGGCAUUUGACUCAUUUCAAUCAUAGCAUACUUAGGCAUAGGCACAUACUCAUCCUACAGGUCAUGAAGAUCAAAGAUUUCAACAUGGUAGCCUAUGCUUAUAGGAAAUAAAUUGAAGACAACAGAUCUAAACUUCAGACAUUUAUGUUGAAGCAGAUCCAAGAUGAUUUGGUAUUCUUGUGUUUACAAGAAACAAGUCGAGGACAUAGCAGAUUUGACUCUCAGACGUUCUCAAAGAUAGCAGAUCUAACCUUCAGAUGUUUAUACUGAAGCAGAUCCAAGAUGAUUUGGUAUUUUUGUGUUUACAAGAAACAAAUCGAGGACAUGGCAGAUUUGACUCUCAGAUGUUCUCAAAUAUAGCAGAUCUAACCUUCAGAUGUUUAUACUGAAGCAGAUCCAAGAUGAUUUGGUAUUCUUAUGUUUACAAGAAACAAAUCGAGGACAUAGCAGAUUUGACUCUCAGGCGUUCUCAAAUAUAGCAGAUCUAACUUUCAGAUGUUUAUACUGAAGCAGAUCCAAGAUGAUUUGGUAUUUUUGUGUUUACAAGAAACAAAUCGAGGACAUAGCAGAUUUGACUCUCAGACGUUCUCAAAUAUAGCAGAUCUAACCUUCAGAUGUUUAUACUGAAGCAGAUCCAAGAUGAUUUGGUAUUCUUGUGUUUACAAGGAACAAAUCGAGGACAUUGCAGAUAUGACUCUCAAAUGUUCUGAAACAGACUCAAGAUGAUUAGACAUCCUUGCAAAUUGAAGAAGUAGAAUCAGUGUCUCUAUGUUCGGCGGAAAGCAGAUUGAAGAUCAUAGAAUCGAUCAAAUUUGGGUCUUUCUAUGAAUCUUUGCUUGAUUCCUGUUACACAGCAAUAAACAAAGAGGGGCAGCUGUAAUAGCCCAAAUUUGACCGGGUUUAAAUAAAGAAAAAAUUAGAUAAAUAAAUAAACAUUUAUUAAAAAAGUCCAUUGAAAGUCCAGGCCUACUGUUGCUACCCAAAGCCCAAAUACAAAAACCCAUAUCCGGGUAUAACCCAAUAGCCAGAACAAUACCUAAUACCCCUAAGCUAAACCCAAACCCAAAUAAGACCCGUUACACCCAGCAGCCCGUCAGACUCAUUAUCCCUGCUAGCCUAAGUCAGACCUAACCCAUUACAUUAUAGACCUUGACCCAAAACAAAACAGCCCAAAAGGCCCAACAGACUUUAGAGAAACAGGGAAACCUUAGGGUUCUUGAAUACUGUGGUGCCGCAAACAUUUCUGGAAGCUUCGGGGAGUGUCUGGCAACCCCCAAAUUGAGGCCACCGUUUAAUGAGUUGUCCCAAGGGGCUUCAAUGCUCAUCAACGCCCCGAUCAUCGGUCGUCCCUUGGUCUGGCCCCAAAUUACGUCAUGAAUGUCAUGACCAUCACCAAGGCUCCAUCAGCGCCGUGAUCAGUGUACGCGUCUACACCAGCAUGGUCACUACUGGAUCCCUCGCUCGAUUGCCUGCAAGAAAAGGAAACAAACAGCAGAUACGCAAAAAAGCAGAGUAGAAAAUGGCAAGGAAAUCACAGCAGAUCAGUCAGAGAUACAAGAAAUCAGAGAUUUCUUUCCUUAUGUAACAAAUCAGUAGGCUAUAAAAAAAGCCUUUGUAACCCUUGUAACGAUUACACAGAUACAGAAAUAAAGAAACGAAUACAAACAGUUUCAAAGGUGAUAAUCGAGUGACUUGUUCUCUAUUUUUUUUAGCCCAUAUAUAUGAACUGUUUAGCAAAAUACUAAGGGUAUUUGAAAAGGAGAAGAACUACCUGUUUUGGAUCUGAAGAAACGAGGAUUUUUAAACCCUCCGAUCUUCGUAUACAGUGGCCCUUAGGGCGGCGCGUGGGCGCGUGGAUCGGCACGUGGCGUACGAAGGCCAGAACCGGAGCUCCCUUCCUCUCUCUCUUUCAGAGAGAAUUUUUUAGUUUUUUUUUAAA